rfam:Pteropus alecto contig32855, whole genome shotgun sequence.
AGCUUUGCGCAGUGGCAGUAUCAUAGCCAAUGAGGUUUAUCCCAGGUGUGAUUAUUGCUAAUUCAAUUUUCCUCUCUCCGAGCCCACUGUUAUGUAUAUAGUUUCUACAUAUUCCAGACCUGGAAAUGAACUCAGAUCUUCA